rnacentral:rRNA from 2 species
UAAAACCAGCACCUCAAGUGUCAGGAUGAUUAUUGGGCCUAAAGCAUCCGUAGCCUGCCCUGUAAGUUUUCGGUUAAAUCUGUAUGCUCAACAUACAGGCCGCCGGGAAUACUGCAGGGCUAGGGAGUGGGAGAGGUAGACGGUACUCGGGAGGAAGUGGUAAAAUGCUUUGAUCUCUCGAUGACCACCUGUGGCGAAGGCGGUCUACCAGAACACGUCCGACGGUGAGGGAUGAAAGCUGGGGGAGCAAACCGGAUUAGAUACCCGGGUAGUCCCAGCCGUAAACUAUGCGAACUCAGUGAUGCAUUGGCUUGUGGCCAAUGCAGUGUUGCAGGGAAGCCGUUAAGUUUGCCGCCUGGGAAGUACGUACGCAAGUAUG